GGGCUUAUAGUUUAAUUGGUUGAAACGUACCACUCAUAACAGUGAUAUUGUAGGUUCGAGCCCUAUUAAGCCCA
rnacentral:tRNA from 1 species